AUGUCUGUUUUCAAAGCACAAAGAGUUAUUGAUGAGAUUUGCUGGCGUUACUACGAGGAAACUAUUAUGAUACUGAACCUCAUGCCCUAUCGAGCAUCUUAUCCCAUCUUAAAGUUGGUUUAUUCGGCAGCCGCAAAUGCUACUCAUUAUAGGGAUUUUGACAAAGCGAAUUUAUUUAUUACUAAAGCCGAAGUCAGUAGGAGUACUAUUAUGAAGAAAUUCAGACCUCGAGCUCGAGGACGUAGUUUCCCCAUAAAAAAGCAUGUGUCAUAUAACAAUUGUACUAAAUAUAGUAAAGAAAUCUAA
rnacentral:rRNA from 1 species